AAAUUCACCCCAAAAACGGGAUCAGUGUCCUCAAAAACCCCCAGAGAUGCCCCCCAAAACACACAGAAAUGGUUAAAAAUUGGGAAAUCCACCCGAAAGUGGGAUGCAAAUAGGGUGAAAAUGGAGCAGAAACGCCCCAAAAUCUGCUCUGCGAUGGCUCAGCUGCAGAUAUCUGUGUGAGUGACCCCGAAAAUCCUAAAAUUCAGCCCAGAAAUGAAAUCGGGGACCUCAAAACCCCCCCCCAAAAUUACCGAAAUCCACCCAAAAAUACCCAAAAAACCGACAGGGGACCCCAAAAAACCUGGAGGUCACGGGGAAGGUGGGACCCCAAAAUUCACCCCAAAAACGGGAUCAGCGUCCUCAAAAACCCCCAGAGAUGCCCCCCAAAACACACAGAAAUGGUUAAAAAUGGGGAAAAUCCACCCAAAAAAGGGGUGAAAAUGGAGCAGAAUCUGCUCUGGGAUGGCUCAGCUGCAGAUAUCUGUGUGAGUGACCCUGAAAAUCCUAAAAUUCAGCCCAGAAAUGAAAUCGGGGACCUCAAAACCCCCCCCAAAAUUACCGAAAUCCACC